rnacentral:rRNA from 1 species
UACGUAGGUGGCAAGCGUUGUCCGGAUUUACUGGGCGUAAAGGGCGUGCAGGCGGUCUGUUAAGUGCAGGGUGAAAGCUCCCGGCUCAACUGGGAGAGGUCCUUGCAUACUGGCGGACUUGAGGGGGGUAGAGGAAAGUGGAAUUCCUGGUGUAGCGGUGAAAUGCGCAGAUAUCAGGAGGAACACCAGUGGCGAAGGCGGCGCUCUGGGCUGGCACUGACGCUGAGGAGCGAAAGCGUGGGGAGCGAACAGG